GUGUCAGCCGCCGCAGUACGACGAGUGGCCCGAGCGUUAAUCGGAAUCACUGGGUUUAAAGGGUGCGUAGGCGGCCUGGUAAGUCAGGGGAGAAAGUUUGCCGCUCAACGGUAAAAUUGCCUUUGAUACUGUCAGGCUUGAAUAGGCGCGAGGCAGGCGGAAUGUGACAUGUAGCGGUGAAAUGCAUAGAUAUGUCAUAGAACACCAAUUGCGAAGGCAGCUUGCCAGAGCCUUAUUGACGCUGAGGCACGAAAGCGUGGGGAGCGAACAGGAUUAGAUACCCUGGUAGUCCACGCCCUAAACGAUGCUUACUCGACGUGCGGUUUUCGGAUUGUGCGUCCAAGCGAAAGCGCUAAGUAAGCCACCUGGGGAGUACGCCGGCAACGGUGAAACUCAAAUGAAUUGGCGGGG
rnacentral:rRNA from 1 species